rnacentral:lncRNA from 1 species
GCUAGCAUCAUAACAAGUAGAAGCAGAACAAACAGAACUAGUUGAAGAGGGAGAAGAGGAAGGAGGAACCCAUGUCAGCUUAUACAAGCCAGCAGCUUGUUUACCAAAAUCCAAUGGCUUCCUCAGAGAAGGGCCCUGUAGCAUGUGGAGUAAACAGGAAUGUUCAGUGAACAUGACUAUACAAUGUAAUUCCUUUACCAACUUAUGGAUAUACAUAAAGAUGAUGAAAUAGUUUUAUUGUCAGACAGAAUGGUAUCAUUACAAGAAAUAGGCAUGGAAGACAAAACAGUAACCUUGCUAGCAUCAUAACAAGUAGAAGCAGAACAAACAGAACUAGUUGAAGAGGGAGAAGAGGAAGGAGGAACCCAUGUCAGCUUAUACAAGCCAACAGCUUGUUUACCAAGAUCCAGUGGCUUCCUCAGAGAAGGGCCAUGUAGCAUGUGGAGUAAACAGGAAUGUUCAGUGAACAUGACUAUACAAUGUAAUUCCUUUACCAACUUAUGGACAGAAAUUAAGUUGUGUGUGAAAG